ensembl:lncRNA
CCUGGGCCGAGUCCCUGCGACAAUAAACAUCCCCCAGCGCCGCGGGCAUAGACUCCGCGCCGGCUAGAGCGGCCGCCGGAAGUCUUGGCGGCGGGCGGGGAGGAAGGGGGCUGCGCUAGCAGCGCAUUUCCGCUUUCGUCUGCGCCCCUUCUCUGGAAGGCGGGGCGGGCGCUCCCCAGGCCGAAGCACCGCCCUGGGCGGUUAACGGGCGCCGCGACGGGCGGCCCCGGGCGGCCCCUCCUGGCCCGGGGGCGGUUACUGUGCCCUCCCGUCCCGGUCCCGUGUCCCCGCGCGGCUGCGGCCUGGUUUUCCGUCGGCGCUGGCUGAGCCCCGGGAUCCCGAGUGCGGCGAGGUCCUGUGUUUGCGGGGCGUUUAUCCGUUACUGCCUAAGGGGCCUGGUCGUGGAAAGCCCUGGAGGAGCAGCGCUGUUUCAAAGUUCUCCAGAAAACGUCGGUAGAGGCCAGGCUGCAGGCCUCUUGUCUGGUUUUCUGCUCUCUGGUGCCAGCACUUGCACGGUGAAGUGGUUCUGUGGUUGUGUGCAAGGAGGGCUGGUCUUGGAAAUAACUUUUUCUAGCACAUGUUCCAGAGAAAUGCAUAAUCACCACUGGACACUAGGAAAAUAUUUUUUUAAUGAUGAAGAAACAGACCCUUACCAUUUCAAGUUUUCGGCUGCUUUGUCUACUGAGGUUUCCUCGUUUGGACUAGGACAUGUUUUCAAGAUUGCGUCUCCGAAUAUAUGUUUGCAAAUAUGCAUACACAUGCAAAUAAUUAUCACAUUAAUAUGGAAUGCAAAUGGGGUUAUUGGGCAGCUAAUUUUGUAUGUAAGUUCAACAGUUGUGCAUGUGAUUUUAUUUCACAUCUAUACAGUUACGAAGCUCAUCAUUAACUUUAAAUGUCGCCAGUCCUCCCAAGCUCUGUAAGAGUAAUCCCAGGCUAUGUCACCAUUACCUGACUGAACUUAUGUUCUCCCCCUCCUGGUCUCCAUCCCUCCUUGCAACUCUCUAAGUUGGCUCCACGGCUUCCUCCGCCAGCGUGAAGUUAGUGCUUUCCCAUCUGCAGGAACUGUGUCCUCAUUUUCCUCUUUCUAUUGCAUGUUCUGUCUUCUCAGAUGCUACACUGAAAUCAGACAGGGAAGGCAUGGAUACCGUGUCUGACUUUGUCCCUGCCUUGUUGUGUGAUUUUGAACCAUUUCAUCCUUUGUUUCUCAAUCUGUUAUUCAGAAAGUAAAGAGGAGAUGGGGGGAGGGACUGCUUAUUGUACUUGAACAUUCUGCGGAAUCGAAUCCUGGCCUGCUCGGGACCUUCAGUAUUUAUGUAGUAAAAAUAAGGAUUUGAACUUUAAAUAGAUUGAACUUUAGGACACUGCAUAUAUUUUUGUGUUACAAUUCCAGCAAUGAGAGUGAAUGAAGAUGCAGUUUCGUGAUGUGGUUAUUCAGAUCUAACCACAACCUUCUGUCAGAAAAAUCACUCAUCUUACUGAAACAAAUGCUUGAUUAUCUGGAUUUUUUUGUUUUUGCAGGGUUCAUUUUCAAUCAGAUAAGCUUGCCAUAAAAUCUCAAGAUCCAGUGUAAAGUAGGCUGUGGGAAAAUGUAGACAGGGAGAAGAGAACCAAACAGCCCCUUGAGGCAGCCUGCAGUGAAGGCUGGAUUAAGAGUAUUGUACAACUGCAUUUUACAUACUGUGGGCUCUGUGUGGAAGAGUGAUAUAUUUUAUAAUAUUUUAUAUUUGAAGAAAAGGCACCUAGGAGCAGUCCAUAUCCUGGAAAUUCCAUAGAAAUGAACUUUGGCAGAAUGAUCAUCAGCAACGUGCAUAUGAUAUUGCAGAUUAUUUAUGAAAAAUCUCCCACAAGUUGGCAGCCAGCAGGGAACAAGCUUAAACCUGUGGCAAGAGAUCAUUCAGGGAGGGAAUCCUUCGCUCCAGGGCUUAGUUUAUCAGGUGAAAUUAUAAAGUUAAGUGAGUCUUCUCACAUUUCUCUCAUGAUAUGGUGGAUGUUCAGUAUGAUAACUCAUGCCAGCAGUGUACUCUAUUACAUUGUUACCUCUCUGGCAUUAGUAGCACUAAAACCACAUCCACAGUAUUCAGACUUUGAGCAAGUUUCUGUUUAAUUUUAUAAUAUACCUAUAAUUUUGUAACAUAAAUAUAUAUAAAAUAUUAUACUACAUAAAUAAAUGUAUUUAUGAUAUAAACA